UACGAAGGGGGCUAGCGUUGCUCGGAAUCACUGGGCGUAAAGGGUGCGUAGGCGGGUCUUUAAGUCAGGGGUGAAAUCCUGGAGCUCAACUCCAGAACUGCCUUUGAUACUGAGGAUCUUGAGUUCGGGAGAGGUGAGUGGAACUGCGAGUGUAGAGGUGAAAUUCGUAGAUAUUCGCAAGAACACCAGUGGCGAAGGCGGCUCACUGGUCCCGGUACUGACGCUGAGGUGCGAAAAGCAGGGAUGGGCAAACAGGGAUUAGAAACCCU
rnacentral:rRNA from 1 species